rnacentral:lncRNA from 1 species
ACUGGUUAUAACAUCUGACUACUUUUCUCAUUCUGAAUCAAAUAUAAUCUUUAAUAAAUAUUCACUUUAUAUCAGUAGGAGAGUCAUGAUCUCAUCUCUUUUUUCAGACUUAUCCUUUAAUACAUGUAUAGAUCUUAGACUAGAGAUAUCCAGUUUAGAAUCUUAAGUUGUAUGAGUAUGUCAUGCUGCUUCCUCCCACGGCCUUUGCACAUGUCAUUCCUCUGCCUGGAAUGUUUUCCCUCAUCCUCACUCCAGUCCCUGCACAUACUUAAUUCCUCAUCUUCCUUCAGAUUUUGGCUCACUCAUUAUUUUCAUAAACAGGUUUUCCCUGAACACCCCUCCUCUCAGGCUCAAAUUUCCCUGUCACAUGCUCUCAUUGCACCAUGUACCUCUCCUGUGUAGGACUUAACACCAUCAACCUAUCUAUUUGAUCUUUCUAAUAUUUGUUUCCCUCACUAUAAUAAAUGUAACCUGAUGGUAAGGACAAUAAUCUGUUUUUGCACAUCACUGUACCCCCAGCUCCAGUCCCUGCCUGGCACACAUAGGGCUCAAAUAUAUGCAGAAAAUGUAUGCAGAAAAUUUCUGCAUGCAUUGAAGAAGCAAUAUAUCCGGGAUCGGUGAAUGGAUUGGGCUCUGAAGACUCCUGUUACAAAUCAGUAACACAGAUCUGGACCAAAGCCAACCAAGAAGAAGGAAAAGGAGAGAGUAAAUUGUGAGGUUAAGUGCCAGUGAUUUGGAAGACCAUGGAGCUAACUAUUAAGAUAGUCCAAUGGUACUUCUUCGGACUUCAGAACCUUUCUGACAUUCUUCUCCCCUCCUCCAAAAAGUUCUAAAAUCCAUGAGAACCUGGGAAUUCCUGUAUAUUAUGAAUCAGAAAACAGGCAAAAAGUAAAAAGGGAACAGCUUGAGUCCUUUGUGGAACAGAAGCAGCAUGGUAUAUAAGGAUGAUUGUCAUAGUGUAGUCCCUACACCUCCAAUAUCACCUCACCUCAGACCUAGUAAAUCAGGAAUCCUGGAGGAGGAGCCAACCAUCUGGGUAUUAACAAGCUCCGCAGGUGAACAUGAUGCUUCUCAAUGUUAGAGAACCACUGGCACAGAAUAAAGAUGAGCCCCACAGUCACCCAGUCUCUUCUCUACAUAGCUAUGAGACACUGGCAAGUUACUUAAAGUCUCUAAGCCUGAGUUUACUCAUCAGGAUUAUAACAACAAAACCCAUCUCAUAGGAUGGUUAUGAGAGUUUUUAAAAAUAAUAUUUAUAAAUUGCCUAGCAAAUAUGGAUACUUAUUAAAUUACAGAUGCUAGUGGAUUUUCUCAUUAAUUUCUUCAUCAUCAUCACCCUCCUAUGUCCAGAUUCUCAAGGGCUAGAAACCCAGAGUAGGAAAAAUCUGUGUAGUCCUUUUAUCUGGUAUGAUCAGCAGAACUUGCGCUGGGAUCUUAGAGAUGAGGCAGGAAGGAUACAAAACUGGGUACUGUAUCUAGUUGAUAGCACCAUUUUUUGGUUGACAAUUUAUAACAAAAUAUAUAACUUAGAUAUGAAGAGCAUUUAAGAGAUUACACAGCCACUUGGCAACACACUAUUUGUUCCUCACAAAAAACCUAGGAUGGAGUUCCCGUCCUGGCGCAGCAGAAAUGAAUCUGACUAGGAACCAUGAGGUUGCAGGUUCGAUCUCUGGCCUUGCUCAGUGGGUUAAGGAUCCAGCGUUGCCAUGAGCUGUGGUGUAGGUCACAGACGUGGCUCAGAUCUGGUGUUGCUGUGGCUCUGGCGUAGGCUGGUGGCUACAGCUCUGAUUAGACCCCUAGCCUGGGAACCUCCAUGUGCCGCAGGUGCGGCCCCAAAAAGACAGAAAAGACAAAAAAAAAACCCCAAACUAAGAGCUGUUACUUCAUUCAGACAAGUCAGAGGACGUGCCCAAGGUCACAAUGCAGGUCCUUCCAAGUUACCUCCCUAUCCAGAACUUGAAACCAGGUAUCAUGAUUCCAAAUUCAGUACAUUUCUCCUCUACUUCUGCCUACACUUCUGUUUUUGCUUAUAUCAUUUGCCCAAGGAAACAAACACUCACCAGACACAUUGAAGAAUAAAAUAACCCUGACAUUCUUUAGAGAGCUUCUUGGAUCCUGGCAUAUGGUUCCUCUGAUUGUCUUUACUUAUAAACCUCACAUUUAAAGGAGCAGUCCGUAUUUUUAAGCUCCUUAGAAGCAAUAUUUGGUCCCGUCUGCUGUAUGUUUUAUUUUUAAUACAGACACUUAUUUCAUGCUGAACUCAAAUCUGCUUCACACCAGCCUUUUAAAAACCCAACUUUCCAAAUUUGCACUUGUAUUACAGAAAGCUAUGGAGCAUCUUCUCUGCUGAUAAAAUACGGUCACUUUCACAAAUGCUAUCCAUUCAUUUUGGUAAUGAGUAUUCCUAAGGCACCUCCUCCUUGCCUGGCACUGGUGAGCAAGUACUGGGCACACAGUGAUGAAGAAGGCAUCACCCUCCCAAGAGGGUAAAGGAUAAGAGCCUCAGACUACGGUAAGUGCCUAAUGCAAAGGAGUCAAAUGAUAAAGAAGUGGUCACCUACACUCCCAUGGGGGGCUGAAGAAGCCCAGAAAAGCAAAUCCAGACAGGGUAGUCAGAGAAAGCCUCAUCAGAAAAAACAUGCUAAAGCAUAUCUUGGCACAGAAAAGUCUAAAAUAGAAAGCAAGUACAUGAAACAUGAGCUGAAAGAAUGGGUGAGGAGUGGCUUAUCUUGAACACGGAGAUUCAAUCCAGGGGUUUUCUUGAGCAGUUUCUCCUAAGAUAAAUAAAAUUUAUAUUCCAAUUUAUAUUCCUACCUCUAUCAAAUAUAGUUGUUUAAUUAUAUAAAUAUUAUAAAUUAUGAAACAUUUUCUUAUAUUUAGUAUAAAUAUAAAAGUUUGAUGCUGUUUAUAAAAAUUCAAUUUAUAAAAAAAUGAAACAGCCUCUGCCCCAAACUGGCAUGUAUAGAAGAAACUAAAAGAAAUAAGUUACCAAGAACUAGAAAGGAAGAGAAGGGAGAAAGAAAAGAGUUAUUCAAUGUUUUUUUAAUUGUGGAGCUCCAUGUUUUGACAUAAUUUAUUUAAUCUCUAAAACAAUUCAGAUUUUAGGUACCAUCAUAUUUUUCAAAGGAAGAAAUAUAACUUCAGUAAGGUAAGCUUAUUUGCCCAAGAGCAAAUAAAUGACAGAAGAGAAAAUCUGGUUAUACAUAAUAUAAACAUAUAAAUCUAUAUAUCCAGUAUCUAUAUCAUGCCCAUUCUACAAAGCCAGGGUCAGCAAACUAGGGCUCAAGAGCCAAAUUUGGGCACAACCCCUUUGUACAGCUGCAAACUAAGAACAAUGUUUAUAUUUUUAAAUGAUAAAAAAUUCAAAAGAAUAAUGUAUCAUGAUAUGUAGAAGUUGCAUAAAAUUCAAAUUUCAAUGCCCAUAAAUAAAAUUUCAUUGGAACACAGCCACAUCACCUACUGCCAUGAUGGUUUUCACCCUACAAGGUAGGGUUGAGCAGCUGUGAAAGAAUCUGUAGAAUCCCAAAUCCUAAAAUAUUAACUAUUGAGCCUUUUACCCUAAAAGUGUGUAAACCCCUGAGGUAAAAAAGAAUCCACAGAAAUAAAACAACAAACACACUUGGAAAUGUUACUUCAAGUUUGAGUGCAAAAAUAUAUACAAAGAAUGGCUAUAAAACACCUCUAAAAGAAUUUAACCUAAUGGCAGUUUCACCCAGAGGUUUUGUAUUCUUCUGGUCCUAUCUCCUAGUAAGGUAAUGGUAAGUCAAUCUCAUCACAGGGGUUUAUCACAUCUCAACUUGAGCAGCUGCCUUUCAACCCACAUUCUCAGAAAGGAAGCAACACAAUGUGGCCACUCCGUAUUCAUUGGUUCAACAUGGUUCUUAAACAAUAAGGGUUUAGUUCUGGGCAUGGUUUCAAACUGUUUUUGUUGAUUCCCAACUAUAUCGUCUUCUCUAAAUAUUUUCCAGUCCAAGUGCAUAUGCUCAAUUAUGAAAAUGAAUUCUUGUAAAUAGCCCGAUCUGGGUAGAUAGUCAAUUCACACCAUGAAGUUCAAUUUUUACAGUACAGGGAAAAACGCUACUUUUUCUUUCCAGUCUUCGGGCUGCAAUGUUGAAGGCUCGAGGCCACGUGCUAUAAAAUGUCUCCAGUUUGUCAUAUGUACCUACUAUUGAGCUCUCUGCCUUCUUUGUCAUUCACUUAUGUAUGGUCAUCCUCAGAUAAUGGGUCAUUUGGGACAUUUCAAAGGUUAAGUCACAAGUCAAUACUUAGGGCAUAUACCUUAAGCCAAAGACAGGCUUAACCUUGUAAGGAAAAAAAAAAAAAAUGCUGCACUUCAAUAGAAAGCUAUGCAUCAUCCAUAGCAUACCCUACCCAGCUGUCUGAUUCUAACCCUAUUCACAAUCUUUGAGCUAUUUUGCACCACUUUGUAUACGUAACUGAUAAAUACUGUUCUGACAGUGUUUUAAUUUACUUCCACUACACUGUGGAAAAACCAGUUUUGUCUUGAUUUGCAACUCAUCUCAACAUUGGUUUCCUCUGUAUACAUUUGUGCUACUUUGACUUUCCCUUCAAGUCAGUUAUAACACCUGUUUGGUUCCCUCAUAUCAUAUAAGUAAAAUAAAAUCUUUAGCACAUGCUCAUUUUCAUACCUAUAAUGAGAAUCAUGGGUUUACUUUUCUCUGAAAAUUAUUUUUUAACAACCUAAAAGUUUGGUAAGAAUUCAGAUUUAUUUCAAAUGCUAUUUUUAAACACUUUAAAUAUUGAAUGAUAUUCACCUUUAAUGUGAAUUUAGUUAUAAUUAAAUUAGUUUAAGAAAAAAGAGGAGUUCCUGUCGUGACUCAGUGGUUAACAAAUCCGACUAGGAACCAUGAAGUUGUUCCUCACAAAAAACCGAGGUUGGAGUUCCCAUCCUGGCGCAGCAGAAAUGAAUCUGACUAGGAACCAUGAGGUUGCGGAUUGGAUCCCUGCCCUUACUCAGUGGGUUAAGGAUCCGGCGGUUCCGUGAACUCUGGUGUAGGUUGCAGACACGGCUCGGAUCCUGCGUUGCUGUGGCUCUGGCGCAGGCCAGUGGCUACAGCUCUGAUUAGACCCCUAGCCUGGGAACCUCCAUAUGCCACGGGAGCGGCCCUAGAAAUGGCAAAAAGACAAAAAAUAAAUAAGAAAUAAAAAUAAAUAAAUUAUCUAAUAAAAGAGAAAAAUAAGUCAUUCAACUAGGCCAAACUACCUUGG